rnacentral:rRNA from 1 species
AGCAGCCGCGGUAAUUCCAGCUCCAAUAGCGUAUAUUAAAGUUGUUGCAGUUAAAAAGCUCGUAGUUGAAUUUUAGGCCUGGCCAGGCGGUCCGUCUUUGGCGAGUACUGUCUUGUGUCGGGUCUUCCUUCUGGUGAACCAGUAUGUCCUUUAUUGGGUGUGCCGGGGAGCCAGGACCAUUACCUUGAAAAAAAUUAGAGUGUUUAAAGCGGGCUUUUGCUUGAAUAGAUUAGCAUGGAAUAAUAGAAUAGGACGUUGUGGUUCUAUUUUGUUGGUUUCUAGGACCACCGUAAUGAUUAAUAGGGAUAGUUGGGGGCAUUAGUAUUCAAUUGUCAGAGGUGAAAUUCUUGGAUUUAUUGAAGACUAACUACUGCGAAAGCAUUUGCCAAGGAUGUUUUCAUUAAUCAAGAACGAAAGUUAGGGGAUCGAAGACGAUCAGAUACCGUCGUAGUCUUAACCAUAAACUAUGCCGACUAGGAAUCGGGCGUACGGUUAUUUCAUGACUCGCUCGGCNCCUAUG